GAUGAACGCUAGCGGCAGGCCUAAUACAUGCAAGUCGAACGGUGUCUUCGGACAUAGUGGCGCACGGGUGCGUAACACGUAUGCAACCUACCUUACAUUGGGGGAUAGCCUUUCGAGAGGGAGAUUAAUACCGCAUAAGACAGUAGCUGGGCAUCCAGCAGCUGUUAAAGAUUUAUCGAUGUAAGCUGGGCAUGCGUCCAAUUAGCUAGUUGGUGAGGUAACGGCUCACCAAGGCAAUGAUUGGUAGGGGAACUGAGAGGUCAAUCCCCCACACUGGCACUGAGAUACGGGCCAGACUCCUACGGGAGGCAGCAGUAGGGAAUAUUGGGCAAUGGACACAAGUCUGACCCAGCCAUGCCGCGUGCAGGAUGAAGGCGUUAUGCGUUGUAAACUGCUUUUAUACAGGAAGAAACGACUCUUGCGAGAGGCAUUGACGGUACUGUAUGAAUAAGCACCGGCUAACUCCGUGCCAGCAGCCGCCGUAACAC
rnacentral:rRNA from 1 species